AGCGAACGUUUGCGGCGGGCUUAACACAUGCAAGUCGAACGGGCUGUUCCUUCGGGGGCAGUCAGUGGCGCACGGGUGCGUAACACGUAGGUAAUCAACCCUCUGGUUGGGGAUAACACUUCGAAAGGAGUGCUAAUACCCGGUAUGGCGCAGCGGUCUUCGGAUCGCGGCGAGAAAGACCCGCAAGGGUUGCCAGAGGACGAGCCUGCGGCCCAUCAGCUAGUUGGCGAGGUAACGGCUCACCAAGGCGAAGACGGGUAGCUGGUCUGAGAGGAUGAUCAGCCACACUGGAACUGAGACACGGUCCAGGACUCCUACGGGAGGCAGCAGU
rnacentral:rRNA from 1 species